rnacentral:rRNA from 1 species
UACGUAGGGGGCUAGCGUUGUCCGGAAUCAUUGGGCGUAAAGCGCGUGUAGGCGGCCCGAUAAGUCCGCUGUGAAAGUCCAGGGCUCAACCCUGGGAUGCCGGUGGAUACUGUCGGGCUCGAGUCCGGGAGAGGCGAGUGGAAUUCCUGGUGUAGCGGUGAAAUGCGCAGAUAUCAGGAGGAACACCAAUGGCGAAGGCAGCUCGCUGGGACGUGACUGACGCUGAGACGCGAAAGCGUGGGGAGCAAACAGG